rnacentral:rRNA from 1 species
AUUGAACGCUGGCGGCAGGCUUAACACAUGCAAGUCGAGCGAGCGGCGGCCGGGUGGGUAAUGUCUGGGACACUGCCUGAUGGAGGGGGCUAAAUACUGGAAACGGUAGCUAAUACCGCAUACCAUCAGAUGUGCCCAGAUGGGAUUAGCUAGUAGGUGGGGUACUGGCUCACCUAGGCGACGAUCCCUAGCUGGGCUGAGAGGAUGACCAGCCACGCGGGAACUGAGACACGGUCCAGACUCCUACGGGAGGCAGCAGUGGGGAAUAUUGCACAAGGGGCGAAAGCCUGAUGCAGCCAUGCCGCGUGUGUGAAGAAGGCCUUCGGGUUGUAAAGCACUUUCAGCGAGGAGGCGUUACUCGCAGAAGAAGCACCGGCUAACUCCGUGCCAGCCGCCGCGGUAAUUC